AUUGAACGCUGGCGGCAUGCCUUACACAUGCAAGUCGAACGGUAACAGGUCUUCGGAUGCUGACGAGUGGCGAACGGGUGAGUAAUACAUCGGAACGUGCCCGAUCGUGGGGAUAACGAGGCGAAAGCUUUGCUAAUACCGCAUACGAUCUACGGAUGAAAGCGGGGGAUCUUCGGACCUCGCGCGGACGGAGCGGCCGAUGGCAGAUUAGGUAGUUGGUGGGAUAAAAGCUUACCAAGCCGACGAUCUGUAGCUGGUCUGAGAGGAUGAUCAGCCACACUGGGACUGAGACACGGCCCAGACUCCUACGGGAGGCAGCAGUGGGGAAUUUUGGACAAUCGGCGAAAGCCUGAUCCAGCCAUGCCGCGUGCAGGAUGAAGGCCUUCGGGUUGUAAACUGCUUUUGUACGGAACGAAAAGCCUCUUUCUAAUAAAGAGGGGUCAUGACGGUACCGUAAGAAUAAGCACCGGCUAACUACGUG
rnacentral:rRNA from 1 species